AGAAGAGGGAAGUAAAUAACCGGCAGCUCGUCCAAUCAGAAGCCCCCCGUGUCGGAAAAGGGACCAAUCAGAAGGAACAAGGAAGGUGGGCGUUAUUCGUAACCAAUCCAAAGCCUCGGCAGGGUAGGAGAGGGCUACGAGAAAGCGAGAUGGGGCGGUGUUUAGUUGGAACCAAUCCAGAGCCUAGGGCGGUCUGAUGGACAGGACGCUGCACCUCUCAGAGCACAGCAGUGGCACGUGGAUAGCCGUGCCCAAUGGGAGAGCGCUAGGAGGCUUGAGGAGCAGCGAAAGGAGCCUACCGGAGCCCGGCCCAUCAUGGCGGCGCCCAGCGAGUAGGGACUUGCCAUGUCCGGCCAGGGGGUCUGGCUGCGAGCCCGGGAGCGGCUGCGGCGUUUCCCCGAGCUGCUGGCGGGAUGUCGGGACCAGGCAAAGAAGACAAUGAAGUGAAGGCAUUAGUAACAAUGCAGGGGGGACUGGAAUCUAGAUUUACAGUUCCUGGCUGGUGUCUGUCCAGCUAUAAUCAAGUAGUUCCAGGACAGAAGAAUCUGCAUAAUCUAGAAUUAGAUCAGAAGGAAAUGGGAGCCUAAUAAUGGAAUAAUCAACUCUCUUUCAUGCACCCUCCUCCCUCAGCUGUUUCAAACAAUGCAUGUAAAUAGAUGUUUGGAAUCUUUUUUUAAAUAAAACUCAAAUCUGA